GACAGAGGUCCCGAGCGUUAGGCGGAAUCACUGGGCUUAAAGCGUGUGUAGGCGGACUUGUAAGUACCUUGUGAAAUCCCACGGCUCACCCGUGGAACUGCUUGGUAUACUGCGAGUCUUGAGCCACCUAGGGGCGAGCGGAACAAACGGUGGAGCGGUGAAAUGCGUAGAUAUGCGGAGGAACACCGAUGGCGAAGGCAAUCCCCUGGGCCUGCACUGACGCUCAUGCACGAAAGCGUGGGGAGCAAACAGG
rnacentral:rRNA from 1 species